GAUGAACGCUAGCGAUAGGCUUAACACAUGCAAGUCGAGGGGCAGCAUGGUCUUAGCUUGCUAAGACUGAUGGCGACCGGCGCACGGGUGCGUAACGCGUAUGCAACUUGCCUCACAGAGGGGGAUAACCCGUCGAAAGACGGACUAAUACCGCGUACACUUGGGAUAGGGCAUCCUGACCCAAGGAAAUGAAAUUCGCUGUGAGAUAGGCAUGCGUCCCAUUAGCUAGUUGGUGAGGUAACGGCUCACCAAGGCGACGAUGGGUAGGGGAACUGAGAGGGUGAACCCCCACACUGGUACUGAGCCCCGGACCAGACUCCUACGGGAGGCAGCAGUGAGGAAUAUUGGUCAAUGGGCGAGAGCCUGAACCAGCCAAGUCGCGUGAAGGAUGACUGUCUUAUGGAUUGUAAACUUCUUUUAGACGGGAAUAACAAGAGCCACGUGUGGCUCCCUGCAUGUACCGUAUGAAUAAGCAUCGGCUAACUCCGUG
rnacentral:rRNA from 1 species